UGUCUGGCGGCAGUAGCGCGGUGGUCCCACCUGACCCCAUGCCGAACUCAGAAGUGAAACGCCGUAGCGCCGAUGGUAGUGUGGGGUCUCCCCAUGCGAGAGUAGGGAACUGCCAGACAU
rnacentral:rRNA from 49 species